CCUACGGGGGGCAGCAGUGGGGAAUAUUGCACAAUGGGCGCAAGCCUGAUGCAGCCAUGCCGCGUGUGUGAAGAAGGCCUUCGGGUUGUAAAGCACUUUCAGCGGGGAGGAAGGCGGUGAGGUUAAUAACCUCAUCGAUUGACGUUACCCGCAGAAGAAGCACCGGCUAACUCCGUGCCAGCAGCCGCGGUAAUACGGAGGGUGCAAGCGUUAAUCGGAAUUACUGGGCGUAAAGCGCACGCAGGCGGUCUGUCAAGUCGGAUGUGAAAUCCCCGGGCUCAACCUGGGAACUGCAUUCGAAACUGGCAGGCUAGAGUCUUGUAGAGGGGGGUAGAAUUCCAGGUGUAGCGGUGAAAUGCGUAGGGAUCUGGAGGAAUACCGGUGGCGAAGGCGGCCCCCUGGACAAAGACUGACGCUCAGGUGCGAAAGCGUGGGGAGCAAACAGGAUUAGAUACCCGAGUAGUC
rnacentral:rRNA from 1 species